rnacentral:lncRNA from 1 species
UACCAUAAUUGACCAUUGGAUCUUAAUCCCACCAUUGGAUGAAGACAUAAUGGGUCAAGUGAAUGGCGCCUUGCAUUGGAGCCCUUGGAUCAUCAUCAUGAAAGAUCAAGAGGUGAGGCGUGAUGGACAUGUGAUUAGCAUGUGAUGUUGACUUGGUCAAAAUAUGGCACCACAUGAAAGGACAUAUCAUUUGAUACACCUCCUCACUUGAU